UAAUUCUAGAGCUAAUACAUGCUAAAAAUCCCGACUUCGGAAGGGAUGUAUUUAUUAGAUUAAAAACCAAUGCCCUUUCGGGGCUCACUGGUGAUUCAUAAUAACUUCUCGAAUCGCAUGGCCUUGCGCCGGCGAUGGUUCAUUCAAAUUUCUGCCCUAUCAACUUUCGACGGCUGGGUCUUGGCCAGCCAUGGUGACAACGGGUAACGGAGGGUUAGGGCUCGACCCCGGAGAAGGAGCCUGAGAGACGGCUACUACAUCCAAGGAAGGCAGCAGGCGCGCAAAUUACCCAAUCCCGACACGGGGAGGUAGUGACAAUAAAUACUGAUACAGGGCUCUUUAGGGUCUUGUAAUUGGAAUGAGUACAAUUUAAAUCCCUUAACGAGGAACAAUUGGAGGGCAAGUCUGGUGCCAGCAGCCGCGGUAAUUCCAGCUCCAAUAGCGUAUAUUAAAGUUGUUGCAGUUAAAAAGCUCGUAGUUGAACCUUGGGCCUGGCUGGCCGGUCCGCCUCACCGCGUGCACUGGUCCGGCCGGGUCUUUCCCUCUGGGGAACCGCAUGCCCUUCACUGGGUGUGCUGGGGAACCAGGACUUUUACUUUGAAAAAAUUAGAGUGUUCAAAGCAGGCCUAUGCUCGAAUACAUUAGCAUGGAAUAAUAGAAUAGGACGUGUGGUUCUAUUUUGUUGGUUUCUAGGACCGCCGUAAUGAUUAAUAGGGACAGUCGGGGGCAUCAGUAUUCAAUUGUCAGAGGUGAAAUUCUUGGAUUUAUUGAAGACUAACUACUGCGAAAGCAUUUGCCAAGGAUGUUUUCAUUAAUCAGGAACGAAAGUUAGGGGAUCGAAGACGAUCAGAUACCGUCGUAGUCUUAACCAUAAACUAUGCCGACUAGGGAUCGGACGAAGUUAUUUUUUGACUCGUUCGGCACCUUACACGAAAGUAUAAGUUUCUGGGUUCU
rnacentral:rRNA from 1 species